rnacentral:rRNA from 1 species
GAUGAACGCUGGCGGCGUGCCUAAUACAUGCAAGUCGAGCGAACGGACGAGAAGCUUGCUUCUCUGAUGUUAGCGGCGGACGGGUGAGUAACACGUGGAUAACCUACCUAUAAGACUGGGAUAACUUCGGGAAACCGGAGCUAAUACCGGAUAAUAUUAUGAACCGCAUGGUUCAAAAGUGAAAGACGGUCUUGCUGUCACUUAUAGAUGGAUCCGCGCUGCAUUAGCUAGUUGGUAAGGUAACGGCUUACCAAGGCAACGAUGCAUAGCCGACCUGAGAGGGUGAUCGGCCACACUGGAACUGAGACACGGUCCAGACUCCUACGGGAGGCAGCAGUAGGGAAUCUUCCGCAAUGGGCGAAAGCCUGACGGAGCAACGCCGCGUGAGUGAUGAAGGUCUUCGGAUCGUAAAACUCUGUUAUUAGGGAAGAACAUAUGUGUAAGUAACUGUGCACAUCUUGACGGUACCUAAUCAGAAAGCCACGACUAACUACGUG